rnacentral:rRNA from 1 species
GCCGGCAGCUAGCUCUCUGUAACUCUUACAUGGUUGCCCACUGAAGCUAAGCAGGGCUGUGCCCGGUCAGUAUCUGGAUGGGAGACCUCUUGGGAAAGCUUGGUUGCUGCUGGAA